AUUGAACGCUGGCGGCAGGCCUAACACAUGCAAGUCGAACGAGUGGCGGACGGGUGUGUUAUGUCUGGGAAACUGCCUGAUGGAGGGGGAUAACUACUGGACACGGUAGAUAAUACCGCAAACCAUCGGAUGUGCCCAGAUGGGAUUGGCGAGUAGGUGGGGUAACGGCUCACCUAGGCGACGCUCCCUAGCUGGUCUGAGAGGAUGACCAGCCACACUGGAACUGAGACACGGUCCAGACUCCUACGGGAGGCAGCAGUGGGGAAUAUUGCACAAUGGGCGCAAGCCUGAUGCAGCCAUGCCGCGUGUAUGAAGAAGGCCUUCGGGUUGUAAAGUACUUUCAGCGGGGGGGCGUUACCCGCAGAAGAAGCACCGGCUAACUCCGUGCCAGCAGCCGCGGUAAUAC
rnacentral:rRNA from 1 species